rnacentral:lncRNA from 1 species
CAGCAACGGAAAUCCCAAUCAAGGUCAGCAAUGCAUGCUUCAAGGAAAAGGUCAGCUAGAAAAUAUCCGACUCCAGCUAAUCACGUACUUAGGUCACGAUACUGUUUACAUGGACCAAAAUAACAUCACCUGCAAAUUACAAGUGCCAUUAUAAACAGAAACUACGAGUUUAUAUGCAAUAGGUGGAUUAGAGUUUCAGACAUCCAAGGAAGGAUAAAGCAGCAUAAGCUCUCAAGCCUGGCAAAGGCGAAAGCUCUUAGGCGGCCACUGCGAAUGUUUUGGAGAAACAAGCCUUUGGAUUUGUCAUCAUCAACUUAGAUUUCAAGAAAAUAGAUAUAUUUUUAGUUUCAAGUAUCAGAAAGGAGGCGGACAAAGCGGACAACAUAUGUGCAAAUCUUUACAAAAGCUGGAUGUUGAGAUCACACAAGAGCAACAUCGGACAUGCAUCAAGAGAACGAAAACGGUUCAAUUUAAAAUAACAAUGGCAUCAAAUUAGCUAAUGUAAAUUUUAGAAGAACUGCUGAAACUUAUUUUAGGUGCAAAUUAAUAAUCAAAGCCGCAUUAAGAGCACAAAUCUGAAAACGGUUUCAAUAAACACAAAAUAUAGAGAAAAGCAAUAGGAGGAUUUGUCUUCCGCAUAAUCGGCAAGAAAGUUGGACAAAAUAAAACGAUUAAUUUCAACCCAGAAUAUUUUGAGAAACAGGCCUUUGGAUUUGUUGCAACAUUUCUGAAAACAUUUAGCAAAUUCUCGGAAUUGAAGACAAAACAGCUGGCAUCAAACGCACGCAAAAUGCUCAAAACAAAAGAAAAUGUUUCAUUUAAUUAUACAGCCGAUUAGGCACUUGAAUAAGAUUGAAUUGAGAUCUCAGACAUCCAAGGAAGGAUAAAAGCAGCAUACGCUCUCAAGCCUGGCGAAGGCGAAAGCACUUAGGCGGCCACUGCGAAUGUCUUGAGAAACAAGCCUUCGAAUUUAUCAUCAUCGACCUCCAAAAACUUUAACAGCCAAAUUACGUAUUUGCAACAAAAGUAAUUUCUAAAACACAAGCAAAUCAGACGAUUAAAUAUGCCUCAAAAAGUUGAGUUCAAUAUAGAUUAAGCUCCAUUCACACAUCUAAUUGAUUCAUCAUCUUUGGCAACUCUUUUAGCCCAAUUGAGCUAAACAAAAAUCAACCCAACUCAAAAAAGUAACGAUGAACAAAAAUUAAAGAAGGUUUUAAAUGUUUCCCACCAAAUAAUGAACCAUUCACAUGAAUAUCAGAGGACCUGUAGCUCCCAUUGAUAGAAACAAGCAUAGAUAAGAAAAGGUUUAAGACCAAUACAUACCUAGCAGUUCAAAAAACAGGAAAAGCAAACAGAUCCAGAGAAAAAAAUGGCUCAUGAAGAAAAUUCAGGUGGAGUAUAAGGAGAAACUCAAUAGGAGAACCCUUUUGAAAAACUCCUAAAAGAAAGUUCAAUAUUGCGCAGCAAUGACUCAAAACGCUUCCAUUUUAUAAGGAAGGCGAUCUUAAGGGCGGCGCUUAUUAGAAGAAAAAAAACCCUAAAAAAGUUCGAUAGAUUGUCAGGAGAGGAAAGAGUAAAAACCCUAUAAUGGAGAAACCCUAGAGCUCCCUGUAAGGGUCACACGAGUUGUACAUCGCUAUUUAUA